CGGGCCCGCUCCGGCUUCGCCGCCCCGCGCCCAUCCGUGCACUGCCCGGGGCCCGCCGCCCUGCAGAGGAGCACAGAAUAGCCUGAGCUGGAAGGGAGCCACACGCGAGCACAACCCUUAGCUCUGCACAGGACAUCCCCAAGAAUCACUCCGUGUGCCUGAGAGCGUUGCCCGAACGCUUCUGUGGUUCUGGUUCGCCGUGGCUCUGGCCACGACGGUGCUGGUGCAAACCCACGUUGGUUGUUGUAGCUGGAACAUGGAGGAAUAGGCAGAGUGGCAGAAAUAUCUUCUGGUGGGGUGGGAAAAGGUAAUGGCUGUCCUCAGGUGAAGGUCUUGGCUUGUAUUAGGGAACAGUCACAGCAUUCUUGAGAGGAGAGGCAGAAGAGUGCUCUCACAAGUCCCAUCCUUGCACCAUGCCUUUCUGCUGCUGUGGAGAGAGAGAAGAAAAGAUCAGCUUGGGAAAGACCAUUCUGGGGAAAAUUGUUCUGUGAAAUACAUCUUAUGAUGAACAGUACGAAGGAAUUGGAGCUGUACCAUAACUUAGCAGAUAGGUUAUGGUUAAAAAGCCUCACACAGCUACCUAAUCUGCCAGAUGUUUCUUUGGAUCGUGAAUGGAAGGGUGCCAGGACUUCAAGAUUAGGGCUUCCAGCUGAUCUGCACAGACCCAAGUGA
rnacentral:lncRNA from 1 species